rnacentral:rRNA from 1 species
AUUGAACGCUGGCGGCAUGCCUUACACAUGCAAGUCGAACGGCAGCGGACCUUCGGGUGCCGGCGAGUGGCGAACGGGUGAGUAAUAUAUCGGAACGUACCUUUCAGUGGGGGAUAACGUAGCGAAAGUUACGCUAAUACCGCAUAUUCUGUGAGCAGGAAAGCAGGGGAUCGCAAGACCUUGCGCUGAUUGAGCGGCCGAUAUCAGAUUAGCUAGUUGGUGAGGUAAAGGCUCACCAAGGCGACGAUCUGUAGCGGGUCUGAGAGGAUGAUCCGCCACACUGGAACUGAGACACGGUCCAGACUCCUACGGGAGGCAGCAGUGGGGAAUCUUAGACAAUGGGCGCAAGCCUGAUCUAGCCAUGCCGCGUGAGCGAUGAAGGCCUUAGGGUUGUAAAGCUCUUUCAGGGGGGAAGGAUAAUGACUGUACCCCCA